CCAGCUCUGCUCCAGGUGCUGAAACGGAUCCUUUUUGAAGGGCCAUGGUACCCACAGACCCCAGUGGGGCCACCAUGGCAGGAAUGGAUCCUGCCCUGCUUGCUCUAUGGCCAUGCCACCCACCCGCCAAAGUGCAGCAGCUUUGCCCUCCUGCCCCACCAAUGCCAUCUUCUUAAAAUGAGGCCUUCCGCCUGUGUGCUGGCAAACCACCGCCGGGCCAAGCUCAGUGCUGAGGAGCAUAUCCUGCUGCCUGCCUGCAGAGGAGGGAAGACAGGUAGGACCCCCCCAGCAAGGACAUGCUUCCCUGCUGCUUCUUGUGGAGCUGCAGACUGUAACCCAAGCACUCCAGAUUUCACCUUGGCAAGGACAGGUUCUCCAGGAAUCUGUUUAGACACAUGCCUGGGCACACUGAGGCCAACCCGGGAGGAAGAAAGCAAAGUGUCUGUUGUUUGCAUUGUUGUGCUUCUGUAUGUGUGGUGUGAAAAAGGAAAGGGGAAAAGAGGCCUUGGACUUUCCUCCCUGAUUUUCACUGCACCUCAGUAGCAGCCAUUCAGGUGCCGUCUCCCACCUCUUUUUCUCGCCAUUGCCCCACUGCACUGAACACAAACCCACCAGUUUUGGCCCAAAAUGCUGCCCUGUGGUGAUGGUCACACACCCGGGGUGUGUGGGGGGGGGAAGGGGGGCAAGACACCUCUGGAGGACACAUCUCAAAGUCUCUCUCUUUCCCCCGACCGUGGCAGAGGUGUGGGUGCCUAAUUUAGGCUGCUCAGAUGCCUGAAGUGAGUGGAAAGAAUCUUCACGUGGGAAUUCUCCCUCAGCUGAGGGGGCCAGCCCCACGCCAGCUGCGGGCACACUGCCCAGCCUAGCUCACCACCUCGCUGAGGGGCCGAGCAUCCACCCAUCCUCUACACCCUUCAGAGCCCGGCCCUUGCAAGAGGAACCCAUGGCUUUCCAGCACUCAGCUCUCCCAGCCCCACAUGAAAACGGUUCCCACUGAGAUUUCCCGGGUCAGACUUUGGGUUGCAUAUAAAGCAAGAAGACAAUAGAAGAGAUGAGGCUCGUCAUUGCAACAGCAAACGAAAAGCAAAGGAGCCUUUCUUGUACUUGAAGGGAAAUUGAAGUUGUAGUGCUGUAUUCUCAUUUACAAGACCCCUCAGGCUGCUAAUGCUUGCCUUUUCAUAACAAAAGGAUUGUGCUGUUAAUUGCUGCGGGCCAGGGCACACACAAAUGACUCUGAAUCCUGGACAACCUCUUUUAAGGGGGCACCCACUGCAGCUCAGGCUUGACAGUGGCUAAGGCAGCAGCACCAGAAAGCACCUUCUGUGCCUUUGUCUGUGAUAGGCAACAGAUUCAUU